rnacentral:rRNA from 1 species
UUCGCAAUGCCCGAAAGGGUGACGAAGCGACGCCGCGUGUGGGAUGAAGGCCCUCGGGUUGUAAACCACUGUCGGGAGUUAAGAAUUGUAGGGGUGCUAAUAGUAUUUCUACUUGACUAAGGCUCCGGAGGAAGCCACGGCUAACUCUGUGCCAGCAGCCGCGGUAAUACAGAGGCGGCAAGCGUUGUUCGGAAUUAUUGGGCGUAAAGAGCAUGUAGGCGGCUAUGUAAGUCGGUUGUGAAAGCCUUCCGCUUAACGGAAGAAUGGCGGUCGAAACUGCAUGGCUUGAGUGCGGGAGGGGAGAGUGGAACUUCUGGUGGAGCGGUGAAAUGCGUAGAUAUCAGAAGGAACGUCGGCGGCGAAAGCGACUCUCUAGACCGUAACUGACGCUGAGUGUGCGAAAGCUAGGGGAGCAAACGGGAUUAGAUACCCCGGUAGUCCUAGCCGUAAACGAUGGGCACUAAGUAGAGGGGUUUU